CUAGGUGCCUUCCCCUUAACCCCCUGGGAACAAAUUAAACAGAACAAUAUUAACAAUUUCACAAACACACUGAGUAAUAAAGGAUAUCAAAUAAGUUCUGACUGAGCAACAAACUCUCACAGAACAUACCAAAGCUGCUCCCACCUACAACUAACAUAGUACAUACCAACUGCCUGAGAAACCACCAACAUAUGCUAAUAACCAUCAGCGAUCCUCACGCAGCACAAUCCUCUCUCUCCUGAACAACAGAACACUGGCUUUUAUAACUGGAGAAGGAGUCUAAUGGGAUACAGCUGUUCACAAUAACAGUGGAGGCUGGCUCAGCUGGGUCUUUGGGAGUGGAAYAGCUAAUAAGAAGGAGGUUCAUCUACCUGAGGACAAAGACAGAUUGUCUGGGAUCCAACUCUGCACAGAUGGGUUAACAAAACUGAGCCCAAGGCUGAGGACAAGUGUGUACCACCACCUCCACCGAUGGGGACAUAUGGAUAUCAGGGGAACACUGGCAGUGUCCCCAAAGGAGUGAAUCCCUACUCUAUGAAAGCAGCAGGUCUAUGGGGRAGCAGAUACCCUACAAUGCAUUUCAAUGAUGGGACCAACUCAAAGCCUCCAAGCCAUGGGCCUGGACUGCUUACUAAACAGCUCUCUGGCUUGCUCCCUCCUUCACACUUUGACCUCAUGGCACCAAUGGUUGUGCCACCUGACACUCUACCUUACUGAGGUAUGACUCAGGAAAAUCCUUCCAAAUUGUAUCCAUUCGUCAUUAACUGAGAUUUUACUUGAACAUAGCAAAUGGCUGAAGUAGCAAGAAUGUUAAAUAUUUUUUGUUUUGUCCAACAGGCCAAUUAACCAGAGUGGAUUUGCCAAACAUAGAUUUUUUCAGUGUUAAAAAACUUCAGCAUUAAAAAAUAUUAAAAGAUGAUUUUUUAAAUUAAAUCUCUCCUUUGUGUCCUCAUGUAAUUUGAUGUGUUCUAUCAUCGUUUACAAUGCUUAUUGCUUCUGCAUUGCUUUACGUUACAGACAAGUGUAUAUUAUACACAUAUAUUUUAUUUUAGAAAUGCAUUUUGGAUUUCCUACAUUUACUUACUGUACAGACAAAUAUAUUUUAUACACAUAUAUAUAUAUAUAUAUUUUAAACAUUUUUUAAAAUGUAUUCCAUAGACAGAUCUAAAUAUAUUUAGAUGCAUUUUGAAUUUCUAAAUGUCAAUAUUUUUACUAUCUGUGUCACGUGUUUAUGCCCAUUUAUGUACAUCUUGUUAACACCUCACACAGAUGGUCAGUGGCUUAAAAAAGAAGACAACAGUAACAUGUCAGAUAUAGUUUAAAUGUAUUCAUUGUUGAGUUUGCACCCCAAUAUGACACUUGAAAUAUUUCACAGAAGACUGAAAUGUAACAAAACACCUAUUGUGUUUAUUGAGAUGUACACGGAGAUCCUCAGUUGGUCAAUAUUCCCCUCCAGUGAUUCCCCAACAUCUUGUCAACAUGGGCCUCAAAAAUUAUCUCCAAUAUAUUGUCAAUGUAAAAAGCCUGUCUGAUUAGAAUGAAUGAUGUCCGACAAUACAUUUUUAAUUCUAUGCGCUAUACGUUUUGCUAGCAUUUUUGCAUCACAACACUGAAGUGUAAGGGGCCUCCAAUUUUUUUAUGGACUGGAUCUUUAUAUUUACCACUUUGAAUCGUGUUUCAGUAAUAAUGAAGGAGUYGUUAAAACAUGCUAAUAACYGUCCUCUGAGGAUAUCAAAAAAGGUUUAUCAGAGUUAUUGACCUCACAAGAAGUCAGAUUCGAGUAACUUACAUUGUGGUGCUGAAACUUGAAGCAGCAGCCACGGCACAAACAAUUGGAAAUGGACAGCUCAUGGUGCUGAAAGUAUGCAAAUUGGAGUAAACAUUAUUCAUUWUAAACGUCUUCAUUUUAAUUAGGGAUAUGUGUUGGAGCCUAUAUCUUCCUAUUUAAGAAAUAAGAGGUAGGCCUACCUGUUUGACAGAUGAAAUUAGGCUAUAGGCUGCUAUAUCCAUAGGUAUGUUAGUCAAUUCCUCCACCCGCCAUGCACUCUUUAAAUAGCCCACCUCCCCUCUAGUCUGAGUUGUAAACGUCUUCAUUUUAAUUAGGGAUAUGUGUUGGAGCCUAUAUCUUCCUAUUUAAGAAAUAAGAGGUAGGCCUACCUGUUUGACAGAUGAAAUUAGGCUAUAGGCUGCUAUAUCCAUAGGUAUGUUAGUCAAUUCCUCCACCCGCCAUGCACUCUUUAAAUAGCCCACCUCUGUGUCUGUUAAGACUUGAAAUUAGUUCGUAUGAGAGGGUAUGCCAUAGGCCUACCUUUUCUUAAAGAAAAGGGCAAAAAGUACACUGUUAGUUUAAGAUUCUGAAGAAAAUUAAACAGAUGUGAUUAUAUACAGUUAUCUAUAACAACGCUURGGUCCGCGAUUCUUAAUGCUAGAAACAAGCUGUAAAAUAGGAAUACCCAGGAAAGAUGUGACUCUGAUGCAUAUGGGGAUAUUGUUGUUUCAUUUGGAAAUAAUCUAAUUCUGUCACCAUCAAUUGAUUAAGCUAUUCACAUUCUGUACAAUAAAAUACAUUUAAACCUAGACAGCUUUUAGGGAAACAAUUGUGACCUCUCGUUGGGUUAAACCAAGGAAGAAGAUUAGCCAGUCAAUUGAUGGUAGAUCACCUUCUGACCCCGUGCUCGCCAGGUGACCGGGUGCCAUAGAAUUGACCUGGAUGGAUGUGCCUAGCGACAAGCUGCUGGAGCCCAUCAUCUGCAUGGUGAGAAACACACAUUCACAGCACAGACAUACUCACAUUCACUGCUCACAAACAUACUGGAACAUGCUGUUUCAACAUACACAUCCAGGCAUUGCAAACUGACUCUCACAUUUGUGUAAUUUCUGAACCAUGCUCAUGAUUUUGUUUGUCUUCUGUGUGUGUCCCUCUGCCCUCCAGUCUGACAUGCUGUGCUCACUAUCCACCACGCAACCCACAGUCAACAUGGAGGUCUUGUUCAAGGUCAGGAAGUUCACAGAGGACUUAGAGCAGGAGGGUUGAGAGGCCCUACUACUCCUUACUCAGUCUCUCCUAUCAAGACCCAACUCCAGUCAAAUAGUAGCUACAGUAGUACAACACUACGAACCUGCAUUGGCAGGAAUGAUGGAGCAUUUAAAUUUACACACAAUUGGACAAUGGAAAUGUUUUUUUUGCAUACCCCAACUCCCUCUGAGACACCCACAAGUGCCUUGCUCAAGGGCACAGCGACAUCAUUAUUUAUUUCCCCAUGUGGUCGGCUCUGGUAUUUGAGCCAGCAACCUUUCGGUAACUGGCCCAAUGAUCUAAUCUUGAGGCUACGUGCCGCCCCUUAGAAUGUAGGGUGACUCCCCUAGUGGGUCCUGAACCCAGGUCAGCAGCACUACAUUCCUGUGUGUCUGUAUAGUUGAGGGUAUAUUGGUUUAGUAAUACUCAAUUCAGUUCUGGUACCAGAGGAGACCUCAAUGCUGUUACACGUAGCCAUGAUCACCAAGCUACCCUGACUUAAUAAAACCUGAAUUCAAAAAGAACAAGAUGUGGUUGUCAUUAUUUUAUUUUAACUUGUAUUAUAGUAUGCCCACAUUUCUGUCCACUACUUUUGAAUCAGGUAGCAAUUWAAUGUAAGGGGCUUAAUACAGUUCCAGCCACUAGGCGGUACUCUGGUGAAGCCCAUGGGAAAUAAAGAAAUGUAGAUUAAAUGAAUUGGGAAGAGUAAGAAUGAAAAACUAAAGAAAGUCUUAAAUGAUUGUUACCUGUGCUGAUAUGAUUAAAAGUGAAGUAAACCGUACUUUUCGCGUUGUAGUUUAUAUAAUAAGCUCAUUGGAAGGGAAACAUAAACAGAUACAUGUGCUGCCUUUCCAACUGAUGUCAAGUUCCAACACAAAUAUUCAAAUAUUCAUGGGGUGGCAGGGUAGCCUAGUGGUUAAAGCAUUGGACUAGCGCAAGUUCAAAUCCCCGAGCUGACAAGGUACAAAUCUGUCAUUCUGCCCCUGAACAGGCAGUUAACCCACUGUUCCUUGGCAGUCAUUGAAAAUAAGAAUUUUUUAUUUUUUAAUUUUUAAAAUUUAUUUCACCUUUAUUUAACCAGGUAGGCAAGUUGAGAACAAGUUCUCAUUUACAAUUGCAACCUGGCCAAGAUAAAGCAAAGCAGUUCGACACAUACAACGACACAGAGUUACACAUGGAGUAAAACAAACAUACAGUCAAUAAUACAGUAUAAACAAGUCUAUAUGAUGUGAGCAAAUGAGGUGAGAUAAGGGAGGUAAAGGCAAAAAAAGGCCAUGGUGGCAAAGUAAAUACAAUUAGCAAGUAAAACACUGGAAUGUAGAUUUGCAAU
ensembl:lncRNA